rnacentral:lncRNA from 1 species
UAUAUUGUCGGGACUACCUUUCUUUUUCGGAUCAAGCUUCAAAAUCAAAUUCAGCACACCCUGGUUCGAAACAACAAUCUCGUUAAGAGCAAGCU